UGGGGAAUUUUGGACAAUGGGCGAAAGCCUGAUCCAGCAAUGCCGCGUGUGUGAAGAAGGCCUUCGGGUUGUAAAGCACUUUUGUCCGGAAAGAAAUCCUUGGCUCUAAUACAGUCGGGGGAUGACGGUACCGGAAGAAUAAGCACCGGCUAACUACGUGCCAGCAGCCGCGGUAAUACGUAGGGUGCAAGCGUUAAUCGGAAUUACUGGGCGUAAAGCGUGCGCAGGCGGUUUGCUAAGACCGAUGUGAAAUCCCCGGGCUCAACCUGGGAACUGCAUUGGGUGACUGGCAGGCUAGAGUAUGGCAGGAGGGGGGUAGAAUUCCACGUGUAGCAGUGAAAUGCGUAGAGAUGUGGAGGAAUACCGAUGGCGAAGGCAGCCCCCUGGGCCAAUACUGACGCUCAUGCACGAAAGCGUGGGGAGCAAACAGGAUUAGAUACCCUGGUAGUCCACGCCCUAAACGAUGUCAACUAGUUGUUGGGGAUUCAUUCCUUAGUAACGUAGCUAACGCGUGAAGUUGACCGCCUGGGGAGUACGGUCGCAAGAUUAAAACUCAAAUGAAUUGACGGGGUCAUAGCUGUUUCCU
rnacentral:rRNA from 1 species